rnacentral:rRNA from 1 species
GUGUCAGCAGCCGCGGUAAUACAGAGGGUGCAAGCGUUGUUCGGAAUUAUUGGGCGUAAAGGGAGUGUAGGCGGUUUGCUAAGUCUUCUGUGAAAUCUACGGGCUUAGCCUGUAACGUGCAGAGGAAACUGACAGACUUGAGUGUCGGAGAGGAUAGGGGAAUACCCAGUGUAGAGGUGAAAUUCGUAGAGAUUGGGUGGAACACCAGUGGCGAAGGCGCCUGUCUGGCUGACAACUGACGCUGAGACUCGAAAGCAUGGGGAGCAAACAGGAUUAGAUACCCCUGUAGUCC